rnacentral:rRNA from 1 species
GUUUGAUCAUGGCUCAGAUUGAACGCUGGCGGCAGGCCUAACACAUGCAAGUCGAGCGCGAAAGGCCUUCGGGCUGAGUAGAGCGGCGGACGGGUGAGUAACGCGUAGGAAUCUACCUGGUAGUGGGGGACAACUUGGGGAAACUCAAGCUAAUACCGCAUACGCCCUAGGGGGGAAAGCGGGGGACCUUCGGGCCUCGCGCUAUCAGAUGANCCUGCGUAGGAUUAGCUAGUUGGUGAGGUAAAGGCUCACCAAGGCGACGAUCCUUAGCUGGUCUGAGAGGAUGAUCAGCCACACUGGGACUGAGACACGGCCCAGACUCCUACGGGAGGCAGCAGUGGGGAAUAUUGCGCAAUGGGGGCAACCCUGACGCAGCCAUGCCGCGUGUGUUAAGAAGGCCUUCGGGUUGUAAAGCACUUUAAGUGGGGAGAAAGGCCCGCUGGUUAAUAGCCAGCGGGAUUGAUGUUUACCCACAGAAUAAGCACCCGGCUAACUCCCNUGCCANCA